rnacentral:rRNA from 1 species
AGAGUUUGAUCCUGGCUCAGGACGAACGCUGGCGGCGUGCUUAACACAUGCAAGUCGAGCGACGCUCCUCCUUCGGGAGGAUGACGGAGCGGCGAACGGGUGAGUAACACGUGGGCAACCUGCCCCUAGCUCUGGGAUAAGCCCGGGAAACCGGGUCUAAUACCGGAUAUGAGAUCGGAAGGCAUCUUCUGAUCUGGAAAGUUUUUCGGCUAGGGAUGGGCCCGCGGCCUAUCAGCUUGUUGGUGAGGUAACGGCCCACCAAGGCGACGACGGGUAGCCGGCCUGAGAGGGCGACCGGUCACACUGGGACUGAGACACGGCCCAGACUCCUACGGGAGGCAGCAGUGGGGAAUAUUGCACAAUGGGCGAAAGCCUGAUGCAGCGACGCCGCGUGAGGGAUGACUGCCUUCGGGGUUGUAAACCUCUUUCAGCAGGGACGAAGCGGAAAGUGACGGUACCUGCAGAAGAAGCACCGGCCCACUACGUGCCAGCAGCCGCGGUA